rnacentral:rRNA from 1 species
GAUGAACGCUGGCGGCGUGCCUAAUACAUGCAAGUCGAGCGAACUGAUUAGAAGCUUGCUUCUAUGACGUUAGCGGCGGACGGGUGAGUAACACGUGGGCAACCUGCCUGUAAGACUGGGAUAACUUCGGGAAACCGAAGCUAAUACCGGAUAGGAUCUUCUCCUUCAUGGGAGAUGAUUGAAAGAUGGUUUCGGCCAUCACUUACAGAUGGGCCCGCGGUGCAUUAGCUAGUUGGUGAGGUAACGGCUCACCAAGGCAACGAUGCAUAGCCGACCGGAGAGGGUGAUCGGCCACACUGGGACUGAGACACGGCCCAGACUCCUACGGGAGGCAGCAGUAGGGAAUCUUCCGCAAUGGACGAAAGUCUGACGGAGCAACGCCGCGUGAGUGAUGAAGGCUUUCGGGUCGUAAAACUCUGUUGUUAGGGAAGAACAAGUACGAGAGUAACUGCUCGUACCUUGACGGUACCUAACCAGAAAGCCACGGCUAACUACGUGCCAGCCGCCGCAGUAAAAC